GGCAGGGCCCGGGCCCGCCGCCAUUUCCUGGCGGUCGCCGUCGGGGGGCAGCAGCCGCCCAGGCCGGGCCGGGCCGCCGUGGCGUCGGAGGUGUCUCCUCGGCCGCGACUGAGAGCUCGGCGGGCUGACACUGUGUUAUUGAGAUGCUCUUGCAUCAUCACUUUUCCACAUCAGCAUCCUGCAGUGUGGAGACUUGUCCUCGCCUGGAUGGGACGAGAAGCAAUGACUAAUCCUGGAAACAAGAAGUU
rnacentral:lncRNA from 1 species